UAUGUGAUCGUCUCUUGCAUAUCAAUAAGCGGAGGAAAAGAAACUAACAAGGAUUCCCCUAGUAACGGCGAGUGAAGCGGGAAGAGCUCAAAUUUGAAAUCUUAAAGGGUUUCCCUUUACGAAUUGUAGUUUAAAGAAGUGUUUUCUGUUGAGGUUUUGGUAAAAGUUCUUUGGAAUAGGACAUCAUAGAGGGUGAGAAUCCCGUAUUUGACCUUUACUUUCAACUUUGUGAUACACUUUCAAAGAGUCGGAUUGUUUGGGAAUGCAGUCCAAAAUGGGUGGUAAAUUUCAUCUAAAGCUAAAUAUUGGCGAGAGACCGAUAGCGAACAAGUACCGUGAGGGAAAGAUGAAAAGAACUUUGAAAAGAGAGUUAAACAGUACGUGAAAUUGUCAAAAGGGAAGCGUUUGACACCAGUGUUGUUUUUCUGAAAAUCAAUUAAAGAACUGUUUAUGCUAAGUUGUUUAGACUUUAUCAGCUAACUGUUUAGUUUUGAGCUUUUCUUUAAUGCACUUUUCAGUUAACAAGUCAACAUCAAUUUCUUUUGCUGUAAAAAAGCUUGAGGAAGGUGGCUUGAGAUUCGUCUUAAGUGUUUAUAGCCUCUUGCCUAUGCAGUCGGAGAGAUUGAGGUCUGCAGCGUAGAUCCUUCGGGGCUAAAUGCAUUUGUGCUAAGUUAUAGCAUUUUAUAGACAACUUGUUGACUAUGAUUUGUCUUGUAGCUUACUCGCUUAUGUUAUUUUACCUACGCUUAGGAUGUUGAUCUGUAGUGCGUGCGC
rnacentral:rRNA from 1 species